rnacentral:lncRNA from 1 species
AUGACUGGAAAAUGGGAUGCUUUUACUGCAGCGUGCUCUAAGAGGAAGUUACCAGCUUUGGGAAUGACUCUUCAGCAGCUAAAUCAGAUAAGAACAUCCUACAUCUGGAUCUGGCCACAGCAGGAGAAAAGACGCUCACGACAGUUGUGGAAGUUCCCAUGAUCUGUGGUCGCAUGGAUCCUGCCCCCCUCACACUGCAGCAAUAGUUACGGGCCAUUUGUGUCCAGAAAGGGGGGGACAAUGGCCCAUGUGACUUCAGAAGCCCACGGCUCAGCAACAGAAAACCUGUACAACCAUGACGGAGGAUUUCCUCUGAGAAAAAUUAUCUGGCAACUGCUGGAGGAGGCACAGCACCUUAGUGUACUUACUUGACUAUGUGCAGAAGUAGUAAUCUAAACAACGAGCCCCUUUUGGAUACAGGAAACCACUUAGAACUCUAAGCUUCCCCUUUAUAUCUGAAUAGUACUUACUCUUGACUGUUUUUUGCAUUUCUCCUUGGACUGUUGGACUGCUGGGGGACUAAACAGGUGUUAGCUAUCAGCAUACAUGGUAGAGACCCUGGAGCUGUUGAAAAGACAAAAAAGUUGCUUUUUUUUUUUAAAGCUGAUCAGACACAGGGAAUUGAACAAUCUGUUUCAGCCUUAUUUAACAAUACCUGAGCUUUGCCUCCCUUAGCUACUGUGCUCUGCUAACACAGGCCUCCAAAGUGCUCUAAAGGGGACUUACCAUUCCUUCCAUUACCUUCUGAAAUGGCUAAAGUCCUUACAGAGAAAUCUUUGCCACGUUGUAACAUAUGGCAACCUUUUCCCUAAGAUAAGAAAAUUCUGUGUCAGUAUCUGCAGCUUUGCCUUAUCUCCCACUGCCCAUUGACCAGAGUCAUUGGACAUCGUAUCAUACCUGCAAGGCUGCAGAUAAGGAGAGGCAAUCUUAUUUCUGUUACAUCUGUCUCCAAAAAGGUGCAGUCCACAACACCCACACACAGUGGCACUGUAAGUAAUAACCGUGGCCACUAUCCUGGGGAGGAACAAGGUGUUCUUGUACCUUGCUGUUGCCAAACACACUGCUAGAUAAAAACUGGGGUUCAAGGGACCAGAUUCCCCUUUUAUUAAGCUGCUCCUCUUUUCUCAGCAGCGGGCCCAAUACCUUACCUCUUAAAUCUUUUUUUUUUUUUUUCUGGACUCAUAAGGGAAAGACAUCAACCCUCCAGCUAGUGCCCAUUUCAUAUACUGAGAAGAGUAAUUUAAACAUAAAAUGUUAACGGCUCUCUCUCCUGCUUGAAGUAGGGCAGGCAACACAAAUCCUUCCUGCAAGUAAGAGUCAGAGUGUAACACACCAAUAAUACCCAAGAAUGAGAUUUGUACUCCAUGCCCCAGGGCAGUGUCAGAGGCAGCAGCCCCUCCCAAUGG